AGUGGCGCACGGGUGCGUAACGCGUAUAGAACCUACCCUGGUACAGGGGAUAGCCCAGAGAAAUUUGGAUUAAUACCCCGUGGUAAUUAUAAAUGGCAUCAUUUAUAGUUUAAAGUUUUCGGGAUGGUACAGGGAUGGCUAUGCGUCCUAUUUAGUUAGAUGGGGAGGUAACGGCUCCACCCAUGGCAUCGAUAGGUAGGGGCCCUGAGAGGGGGGAUCCCCCAACACUGGUACUGAGACACGGACCAGACUCCUACGGGAGGCAGCAGUGAGGAAUAUUGGACAAAUGGGCGAAAGCCUGAUCCAGCCAUGCCGCGUGCAGGAAGACGGCCCUAUGGGUUGUAAAACUGCUUUUAUACGGGAAGAAUAAGGGACACGUGUGUCCUGGUGACGGUACCGUAAGAAUAAAGGACCGGCUAACUCCGUGCCAGCAGCCGCGGUAAUACGGAGGGUCCGAGCGUUAUCCGGAAAUUAUUGGGUUUAAAGGGUCCGCAGGCGGGCAAUUAAGUCAGGGGUGAAAUGGUACGGCUCAACCGUAGCACUGCCCUUGAUACUGGUUGUCUUGGGUCAUAGUGAAGUGGCCGGAAUAUGUAGUGUAGCGGUGAAAUGCAUAGAUAUUACAUAGAACACCGAUUGCGAAGGCAGGUCACUAACUAUCGACUGACGCUGAUGGACGAAAGCGUGGGGAGCGAACGGGAUUAGAUACCC
rnacentral:rRNA from 1 species